rnacentral:rRNA from 1 species
AUUGAACGCUGGCGGCAGGCUUAACACAUGCAAGUCGAGCGGGGGAAGGUAGCUUGCUACCGGACCUAGCGGCGGACGGGUGAGUAAUGCUUAGGAAUCUGCCUAUUAGUGGGGGACAACAUCUCGAAAGGGAUGCUAAUACCGCAUACGUCCUACGGGAGAAAGCAGGGGAUCUUCGGACCUUGCGCUAAUAGAUGAGCCUAAGUCGGAUUAGCUAGUUGGUGGGGUAAAGGCCUACCAAGGCGACGAUCUGUAGCGGGUCUGAGAGGAUGAUCCGCCACACUGGGACUGAGACACGGCCCAGACUCCUACGGGAGGCAGCAGUGGGGAAUAUUGGACAAUGGGGGGAACCCUGAUCCAGCCAUGCCGCGUGUGUGAAGAAGGCCUUAUGGUUGUAAAGCACUUUAAGCGAGGAGGAUACUUUAGUUAAUACCUAGAGAUAGUGGACGUUACUCGCAGAAUAAGCACCGGCUAACUCUGUGCCAGCAGCCGCCGUAA